GCUUGCACACUCACACGCGCACACACACACACACACACACACACACACACACACACACACACACACACACACACACACUCUCACUCUCUGUUUGUCCCUCUUUCAAUUUGUUUUGCCUAUUUCUAUUUGCAUUCUUCAUUCUUUCAAUAUGGCAUCUUCAGGUUUUGACCAGUUAUGUCAGGAAGCUGCAACUAUUUCAAAGCAUCUUGAAAUGAAAGCUGACAAUGCUGAACUUGAAGCAGCUACCAGGGAGGCUGAAGAAAUUCUACAAAUGUUUAAUCCUCCACUGCUGAAAAAGAAGACCAAACGAGUGAUUUCCUGGACUCAACAGACACAGUGAACUUUGCACUGCAUUUCAAAGCCAGCUUCUCAGCCGCAACACUGAGAACCAGAGUUGAAGUCAAUGUACUGCUGAGAAAGUGCAAGAUCUAUUUAACCAAAAAUAUAAGGAUGCCAGAGGUACCGGAAGGCUCCCCUACCAAUCCCUGGUAAAUCAUGGCAUGACAGUUAAAGUUGCAGGACUGCCCAACAGCCUCAAAAAGCCAUCCUAUUAUGGAAGGAACCAGUUGGAGGCCAUUUUGCAAGCUGCUGAGGAGAUUUCAUUUGAAAUCAUUGCAGUUUCCUCAUUAAAGUGGACACAUUUUCUAAAAAGGCACCUCUCCAGAAUAUCCUAUAGCUGUUUAGUUGAAUUUGACUAGUGAUUGUGAUAGACCUUGGCAACAGUUGAAUUUUAUCUAUAAAAUAAUAUUUCUUCAUUAAUACUGCUGUGUGAUGCAGAAAGACCAGUUAUUUGUUAUGCUUCUAAG